rnacentral:lncRNA from 1 species
CUUCUGGAGGCUGGGGGGUUCUGAUGGGCUCAGAGGUCUGAAAUCUGAGGUGGAGGACACUGGGGCAGCCAAAGCUCUCCAGCGCCCCCUGCCCCCGAAGCUGGCUGGAAGGAAGGUGGGAGACACCUGUUGGGUGGCUGAGAGCGGCAGAGCCCACAUGGGCCUCUCCCCAUGCGCCCCGCCCGCCCUGUCCGGCUCGGGUCCCGCCCCCGCGGCCCC